rnacentral:rRNA from 1 species
GGCUCAGAACGAACGCUGGCGGCGCGCUUAAGCAUGCAAGUCGAACGGCAAGAGGUAGCAAUACCUCCUAGAGUGGCGGACUGGUGAGUAACACGUGGGUGACAUGCCCUUCAGAUGGGGAUAGCUAUUAGAAAUAGUAGAUAAUACCGAAUACGAGCACAGGGGUUAGAGAUCUGUGAGGAAAGGAGCUAAGGCUCCGCUGAAGGAAUGGCCUGCGGCCCAUUAGCUAGUUGGUGAGGUAAGAGCCCACCAAGGCGAUGAUGGGUAUCCGGCCUUAGAGGGUGAACGGACACAUUGGGACUGAGAUACGGCCCAGACUCCUACGGGAGGCAGCAGCUAAGAAUAUUCCGCAAUGGACGAAAGUCUGACGGAGCGACGCCGCGUGGAUGAAGAAGGCCGGAAGGUUGUAAAAUCCUUUUGAAACUGAAGAAUAAGCGUUGUAGGGAAUGACAGCGUGGUGACAGUAGGUUUUGAAUAAGCAACGGCUAAUUACGUGCCAGCCGCAGC